rnacentral:lncRNA from 1 species
AAAUAAGCCCUACCUGCACAUUUGCCAAAAUUACAAAAUUGCCACCUUACUCUUGAUCUGCUUUAGCGGACCCAAAGAGAAUGAAGAGCAGAUGGAAAACAGCUCCUAAGCAGAUGCAAAGAGGAUCCAAAUCAGAUGCAAAUGGCUAUUUUCCUUCAUAUUUGACCUCUUGUUGACUUGAAUGACUUUCUCAUCUUCCCUUUUUAACUUUUAUCUACACAAAUGAGCAUUAAGUAAGAGAUUACCAUCAAAUCAAUGGAAAAGCAUGAUUAUUUAGGCCUAAAAAGUGCUAGCAAGUCAUCAAAUUGAUGACUUAUAA